rnacentral:tRNA from 1 species
GGGUUUGUGGCGCAAUGGACAACGCGCCUGACUACGGAUCAGGAGAUUCCAGCAAGCUCG